rnacentral:rRNA from 1 species
GAUGAACGCUAGCGGGAGGCCUAACACAUGCAAGCCGAGCGGUAGAGAUUCUUCGGAAUCUUGAGAGCGGCGUACGGGUGCGGAACACGUGUGCAACCUACCUUUAUCUGGAGGAUAGCCUUUCGAAAGGAAGAUUAAUACUCCAUAAUAUAUUGAUUGGCAUCAAUUGAUAAUUGAAAGCUCCGGCGGAUAGAGAUGGGCACGCGCAAGAUUAGUAGUUGGUGAGGUAACGGCUCACCAAGACGAUGAUCUUAGGGGCCUGAGAGGUGAUCCCCACACUGGUACUGAGACACGGACCAGACUCCUACGGGAGGCAGCAGUGAGGAAUAUUGGUCAAUGGGUGCAAGCCUGACCAGCCAUCCCGCGUGAAGGACGACUGCCCUAUGGGUUGU